rnacentral:lncRNA from 1 species
AUGUGUGUGUGUGUGUGUGUGUGUGUGUGUGUGUGUGUGUAUGUAAGAGGGGAGAUACUUAGGCAUGCUUGUAGACAGCAGAGAAGGACCCAGAAAGAUCAAGUAAAGAGAGAAAAGAUAAAUAUAGUGUGGAGAAGUGAAAUAAAUAAUAUGAUAAAUGUGGAAAGAUAUGAGAAGAAAAUGGAUGUAAAAGUCCAGAGAUGAGUUAUGAACUAAGAGACAGACAUUUUCUAUGAAACUGAAAAGGAAAUGAGACUGGAUACAGAUUAUAUCUACGUAGGUAAGGAGAGGAUAAGAAUGGCAUUUCCCUCCUUACACCCCACUUUUUCUCUUCCUAAAUUACCAACAAAUGCUUAUAUUGGGAUGGCAGCAGUGAUUGGGAACAAUACCUAUGAGAAAAGGGAUAAAGAUUUAGAAUUGUCACCAAAGAAGCUGAGCAAAGACUAAGACAAUUUCUCUUCACCUUUGUUGAAGUUUUCUCAUCUGUAUAAAUCAUCCCUCUGCCAAUUCAUCUCAAUUCAAGAUCUGGCUGAACUGCUUCUCUCUUCUUGCCUUCUCUUAUAAAACUAGAUUCUCUGCUUCCACACUGCCCAUGUCUACACAUUAGACUGUAUAACACAUUUCAGUUUACAAGUUUUAUUUCUUUCAUAUUCAUUAUUUUUUUCUAAGGAUUCAAAUCUUGUCUUACACCCAUUUUCAUUCCUCUAGUGGCUCAUGAAAAGUACUGAAGCAAUGGUGUAGUUAACACAUCAGAGCCCAUGGUGUCUAUGCAGAGUGUCCACAUGUCUGUUUGUUUGGGAUAGUUCUGGUUUAUGUGUCUAGUAUUAAUGUAAUUAUUAUUAGCACUUUUUUUCACUUUCAAAAGUGUCCUGGCUUUGAUAAUAAUUUAUAACACUAAUCUUCCCCAACCUUCACUGUCCUAGCUUCUACCUCCUCUCUUGUAGAUAAGUACCCAAUGGAACUGGCUAUUUACAAGUAACACCUAAGGAAAUUUACCUACAAGAGAGGAAGUAGAAGCUACGCAGUAGAGGAAGUAGAAGCUAGGGGAACAGUAGUAUUACCAAGCCAAAGGCCUGAUAGUUAAAAGGUACAAGGUCAAGGUGACAUUGAGCUGCUUCUGAAGCCUACAGAAUGAUAAGAUCCAAGUUCUGCUCUUAGCCAUCAGUUCCAGAAUAGUUAAAAAGACUGUGGAUAACUUUACAAUAAGCUGCAAUAACAGGACUACAGGUUCCUUCACACCAUGGAAGAACCCAACUAGUCGAAGAAAAAUCAAGGCAGAAAAGUAAACCCAGUAACAAAAUACAUACUCUUCUUUACCAUCCUGUCUCUGCACUCUGUAGUCCUAAAAUCUGCUUAGAGAAGUCCACUUACUCAAGCUCUCUUAAUAGAACUUUAUGUAUUUUCCUGAGAAGAGAGAGAAAAUUUUCUGAUGUUGUGACUUAGGUAAAUAUAAAGACAAUAACAAACACUAUUCCUUAAGACACAUGGCUGAGGAGAUGAAUAUAAUCUAUUGACCCAAAUACUAAUGUGUGUAUAUGUGUGUGCACAUUCUACUACUUAAUAUAAUAAAAACCUUGAGUUUAGUAGCAUAAUCUUCAGUAGGAUAUGGAAGAGGAACCCAAGAUUCAGAGAUAUUGAGUCAACGUACAAAGCCAUCCAGCUUGUUCGUAAUGGAAUAAGAUGGGAGCCAAGAUUCAUAGACUUUCAAGCCUGCCCUUUUCAAAUACAAAGGUCUUACUUAGGAAACUCAGCUGUAUUCAAUUAAGGAUUUUAAUAUCAAAACAAAUUAUCACCAUACUUCCCUUGAACUCGUCCCUAUUGAUGAAUUUUGCCACUGCCAUUUGCAGACCCUCUAUGCUAUAAUACAGUAGAAUGAAGAAGUAAUUUCAAGGCAGUUGAGAUAACUGGGGUAUAAACAAAGACUGCACCAAUUUUUGUAGAGCAGUGGUUUCUGUUUGUUUGUUUUGUUUUGUUUGAUUACGGACACUAUGAAUUAUGGACACUAUGAAGAAUGUGACAUGUUUCUGGCAAAGCGUCUCUCUCCUUUUCACACAUGGCUCUCCUUAGACUCCAAGGAACAGUAUAAUUAACAACACCAAGUUGCUCACUAUAAACAUGAAAAAACUCAUUUGGAAUAAAUGAAGCUAUUUGACAUCUUUUAAAUACGAAAGUAAAAGGAAUAAAUCUUAGACAUACAUUGGGCAUGUUUACGCAUUAUUGACAAAUAAAAUUUAUUUGAGAGUGACAUGAAUUCACUGAUGAACAUCCUAGUUUUCAUGGAGCAUUUUUUAGCUUAAGGUAUACAGAAAGAGUCCAUUUUCCGCCUUGUGCUAAUGUUGAAAGCUGUGGCAGUGACACCACAAUAAUGGCCAUCAUUGUGACGUAUAAUACAGAUGUUAUUGCACAUAAUAGAAAGCAUUCUUUGAGUAUGAUGCAAUUUUGUUGCCUACAUGCUGACACCAAGCAGAUAUAAAUGUGCUUUAAUGUGGUUCCUUUGAAAGGGCUAGUGUAGAUGCACCCUCCAGUACAGGCUUUGUAUAAGGUUUGGUGAGCAGCUAGCUUUUAGUUGCUGCUUUCUAUAUUCACUUUAGCACUCCUAAUAGCUCUAAUUAUAAACUACACAGUUUUCUAUUCCUUGCUGUUCUUUGUCAUUGCACUGCUCACAGACAUUUAAACAGUAGAAGCUGUUUAUAGUACAUUAAACACUUUAAGCUGUUGUUCUAAAGUUUUAUACUUUUCUGUGAUUUCCAAGUCGUCUCCCUCUGCUGUUGUGUGAAACUAUGCAACACAAUUCAAUAGAAAACAUCAGAUAUGUACAUUUUUGUGGAUAAUCAGCAGAGCUAACAGCCACAUAUGAAUCAGAGAAUCGGGCUAUUUUACACUGUUUGCUAUGGCAUUGGUACAGAAUGUUUAGAUUUUUUUUAAAUGAUUCCCUAUAAUGCUUUGUAAAGUAGUGAUUUUGCUUUUUAAAUAAAAUCAGUAGCCAAAAGGAGUAUUAACUUGUAUUAUGAUAUGAUAUGGCAUAGAAAAUGUAACUGUUGGAAAGCUAAGCAUUUCCCUAUAGUAUCACAGUAGGAGGAGAUGGGUAAUUACUCCAAUAAAUGACCCAUUAGGAUAGUAUGGCAAUGUGAAGAAAGAGAGUUACUGGUGUUAAAACUGACAUGGAAUGUGCAGGAGACCAUAGUGGUGUCAGUAGGAGCCCCCAUCUUUGCUUUCUCUUGGUUGGUUACACUGUGACUGUCACUUCUUGAUGUUCUACUGGAACGGGCCCUGUGCCACCCACUGUGUGAGAAGACUGGGAUAAUUUAGCAUUCUUUCCCAAAAGCGUUAUUUAAUCCUUCUGUGAAAAAUGGAAGUGAGAGGUUAGAGAUUUAGUCUUUGCUGUUCAAACCAGUGAAAAACCAUCCCCUAGCAUGUUCGUUUAAAAGUAAGGGCCCACUUACACCAUCAUAUUGAGCAUGCUUAGGACACAUGGUUUUGUAUUAGAAAUAAAAAUGACUUACCGAGAACCAGACUUAAAAUAUGGAGAAUGUUGCAGAGGGAAAGUAGGCUUUAGAUUAACACUGGAUUUCCUGACAGUGAUUGAUUUAAUAGCCUAGAGUGAUGCCUUCUACCCUAGGAGAAAGCCAUCUGACUUUCUAGGGAUGUCUAAGUUGAAACUGUGUAGGUAACCUGAAGUAAGCCAGACCCUUUCAAGUUCUACUCUUACAAUUGCUUGAAAAUUAUGAAAAUGGGGCCUUUUUUCUUCCCAUCCCUCAUCUAUGCAAUAUUCUUCCCUCUUGCCUUGUUUCAAAUUUUUUUUCUCAUUAUUAUGCUACUAAAAUAAUCACAGCCAGGUAUGGUAGCACACACAUGUGUGAUCCUAGCUACUCAUGAGGCUGAAGUGGAAAGAUGGCUUGAGCCCAGGAGUUUGAAGCCAGUCUGAGCAACAUCUUGAGACCUGUCUCUUAAAAACACACACACACACACACACAGAAUCAAUCAAUAAAUAGAAAGCCUUAUUAUGAAAAAUUAUAUGCACAUGCACAACAAAAUAGUAAUUCUUAGUUUAUAAAUUGGACCUAGUGAACCCUGAGAUUUCUGAUCCUAUAUUUAUAGUUGGUGACAAAUCAUACACUCCUUGUGAGCAUUGCUUUCCUUGAUUUUAAUUCAUGUUAAUAUGUACUUAACGACACAAUUUGCUGACACCAUGUGUAUGCUGAUUGCAUCUGUGGGAUGAUGACCCAAAGCUAAAAAUAUAUAUAUUAAAAAUCACCAUAAGAUAUAAUUUUCGAGAAUAUUUUUUUCUCAGGAAGUCAGACUAUAUUUCUGCAUCUGUCACUUACAUUUCUGUAUAAAAUCUUAUGAAUUUCUUUUAGUAUCUCUAUUUUUAAAAUGUGAAAAUUAUAUCUAACCCACAGCAAUAAUAUGAGGUCUAAUGAGUAUCUUUUUUAAGAAUGAAUGCAAUUUGUAAACUAUAAAAUACUAUAUAAAUAUAUGCUAUUAUAAUUCCCAAAAUUAGUAAAGUUUCUGAUUGUGCUAGAAAGUUACUAUAAGCAUACCCUUAGCAAUAUAAGUUGCAAAAAAAAAAAAAACAGUGAGAAGAAACAUACAAGACUGGUUUUAAGGACUAAACAAAAAUCAGGGGCGAUAAUUUACUUCUCUACUUCUAGCAUGCUAUACCAUUUACUUAUUUUGUAUAUUUUACUUUUGCCUCUCACCUACUAGAAUGUGAUCUCCAUUGGAGGAGGCAUUGUUGUCUAUUUUACUUACUGAUACAAGAGCCUGAAAGAAUGUCCAGUACAUAUGAAGUGCUCAGCAAUAAUCUGCUGAAUAGACAAGUGGAUGGUACCUGGUGCUGUAUUAUCCUGGUUUUAAAAGGGUAGAAUGCUGUCCAUAGGAAAGGCAUAUCAGAAGCAGUGUUUAUGAAAAGUCCAGGAGAACAGAAAAUAAGACAACUCUGUGGGGCAUUUUCUUCAGGAGAAGGGUCCACAUUUAGACAGAUACCAGCAGAGAGU